UUUUCUUUUUACGUUUCCUUUCCUUCCUUUCUGUCGCCAUCCGCUUUCUUUUCCCUCCCAAAUUAACAGGUGAAAAUCCCCACUGGAAAAGCUCGACAUUCACCAUCGCCACGUGUACCAACGAUCACAUCUACCUAGGAGGAUGAACAUGGCACGUCAGUGUCCUAUCACUCUGCCUGCUUCUUAAUCAAGCUCGCAAAAACCAUAUUUAAAGCUUUCAGCUUUAUACCUUCAUUCCUAUACUCAAUCUGUCAAUCAUGCAGAGGUUCAUUUCCCUCCGCUUCAAAUCUGUUUCGUCAAAAUCUUCUGUCUUCUCUAUAUCGCCUUUCUCCGCUUCGCUAAAUUCUCAUCUCUCCAAUUCAAUUAGCUCAUCUGACAACCACUCUCAAUCCAAUAUAUCUAAAUCUCCUUCGAAUUAUUCCAGUUUCGCUUAUCAAUCGCAAAUUCUAAAUCGUAAUCAGGACAAUUUGCGGAAUUUUGAUAGAAAUAGGGGUUUUAUCAGGAAUUUUAGCGAUGGAACGGCUCGAGAUUCUAUGGAAUAUGAUGUUGUGAUUGUUGGAGCUGGACCGGCUGGCUUGUCGGCUGCAAUAAGAUUCAAGCAAUUGUGCCGUGAAAAGGGUGCGGAUUUAUCCGUCUGUGUUCUUGAAAAAGGCGCUGAAGUGGGUGCGCACAUCAUAUCUGGGAAUGUGUUUGAGCCCCGGGCAUUAGAUGAGCUUCUCCCACAGUGGAAACAGGAAGAGGCACCAGUCACUGUCCCUGCUUCUUCUGACAAGUUUUGGUUUCUUACAAAAGAUCGUGCCUAUUCACUUCCAUCUCCCUUUGAUAACAAGGGGAAUUAUGUUAUAAGUUUAAGUCAAUUAGUACGAUGGAUGGGAGUAAAAGCUGAAGAAUUUGGAGUGGAAAUAUAUCCAGGCUUCGCUGCUAGUGAGGUACUAUAUGAUGCAAAUGACAGUGUCAUUGGAAUUGCAACUAAUGAUAUGGGAAUUGCCAAAGAUGGUUCUAAGAAGGAGAAUUUUCAGCGUGGUGUAGAAUUAAAAGGUCGAGUAAUUCUUUUAGCUGAAGGUUGUCGAGGAUCAUUGUCAGAGAAACUAAUUAGAAAAUACAAAUUGAGAGAGAAGGUCAAUGCUCAACAUCAGACUUAUGCUUUGGGAAUCAAAGAGGUUUGGGAAAUUGAUGAGAGCAAGCAUAAGCCCGGUGCAAUUCUUCACACAUUAGGUUGGCCUUUGGAUCGAAAAACAUAUGGGGGAUCAUUUCUGUAUCACAUGAAAGAUAGACAGGUUUCGAUAGGCCUAGUGGUCGCUUUGAAUUAUCGGAAUCCUUACUUGAGCCCUUAUGAGGAAUUCCAGAAACUUAAGCAUCAUCCAGCCAUCAAGCCACUUCUGGAAGGUGGAACUGUCAUUCAAUAUGGGGCUCGCACUUUAAAUGAAGGCGGUAUUCAGUCUAUUCCAUAUCCAGUUUUCCCGGGAGGAGCAAUUAUUGGAUGUUCUGCUGGCUUCAUAAAUGUACCAAAAAUAAAGGGUACACAUACUGCUAUGAAAUCAGGAAUGCUAGCAGCAGAAGCUGCAUUUGGCACUCUUCAUGAAGGCUCAAAUUUGGAAUUGUAUUGGGAAACUUUAAGGAAUUCAUGGAUAUGGGAAGAAUUGCACAAAGCUCGUAACUAUCGACCUGCAUUUGAGUAUGGGCUUAUUCCUGGAAUGGCAAUAAGUGCAUUAGAACACUAUAUAUUGAAAGGAAAGUCCCAAUUCACACUGAAACAUGGGAAACCUGAUCAUGAAUCAACAGAUCUUGCUCAGCUACACUCUGCUAUCGAAUAUCCAAAGCCAGAUGGGGUGUUGUCUUUUGAUAUACCAACCUCUUUGCACAGGAGCAACACAAAUCAUGAACAUGACCAGCCAGCCCAUCUUCUUUUGAGGAACCCCACGAUUCCUGAGCUAGUGAAUUGGCCAGAGUAUGCUGGACCAGAAUCAAGAUAUUGUCCUGCUCGUGUAUAUGAGUAAUGUAUGUCUCAGAUGACCAGACUCCGCCAAAGUUACAGAUCAAUGCUCAGAAUUGCUUACACUGCAAGGCAUGCGAUAUCAAGGACCCAAAGCAAAACAUCGAGUGGACAGUGCCAGAAGGAGGUGGAGGUCCAGGAUACUCAGUAAUGUAGAUUUUAGUACUAACCAUUUCUGCAAAUUCUUACAUUUUAUGUAUAGGACUUCAAAGUUUAAGCAAUACAAUAAUCUAAAAAAUAAAAGCAAACUCAAAUAAUUGUCGGUCACAUUGUACAGGUGAAGAACAAAAUUGAAAUUUAAUUGCACCUGCCAUAUCGAUUGAAUUGAUCCUAUUUAUGUAUUAUGUCAUUUAAGCAUGAAAACGGUUUGCUGACUGGAAGAAAA